CCUGGCACCCAGACCACUUCAUUAAGCUGAAGUGGUCUGGGUGCCUAGAGUGGUCCUUUAAGAAGCCAGAAGUCCGUGUAGUGGCUGUCUGAUAGAUUAGAAAUCUAAAGAGCAAGUAUAAUGAGAGGAAGGUAAACUGUUAAUGUCUGCCUAGAUAAAACAACUGUGAUUUUUUUAAGUGUUCAUUAAUAACAAACAUCGUAUUUUUAAUAAGCCACUAAACCUUUAACACUUUGUACAGCCGCAAAUCAAACUGGUACACUAAAAGGAACGUGUUUUGUCAAAUUUCUGUUGUACUAUACCAUCUGUCUUAUGAAUAUUUUAUGAAUGAGGGUUUAAAAAUUUUUUUUAAUUAAAAACUACAAUUUUCUUUUUGUAAUUAUGAAAAUGGUGAUUAAAAAGAGUUAAACAGUU